AGGAGCUCUCUCUUCUCCUCCUGUCUGUGGAUCUGGAUGUAGAACUCUCAGCUGUCAUGUCUGCCUGUGUGCUGACAUGCUCCCUACCGUGAGGAUAAUGUACUAAACCUCUAAAACCGGAUAUCAUUCUGCCGCUGAAGUCAGUUUACAUUUGGAAUUGGGACUCUGGAGAGGGAGGAAGCUUUUUUGAUGGUGACUGGAUAAAGCACUGAUCUAGGAGUGCAGCAGAUGAUCACGAGG